CAGCAGCCGCGGGAAUACGUAGGGUGCAAGCGUUAAUCGGAAUUACUGGGCGUAAAGCGUGCGCAGGCGGUUAUAUAAGACAGAUGUGAAAUCCCCGGGCUCAACCUGGGAACUGCAUUUGUGACUGUAUAGCUAGAGUACGGCAGAGGGGGAUGGAAUUCCGCGUGUAGCAGUGAAAUGCGUAGAUAUGCGGAGGAACACCGAUGGCGAAGGCAAUCCCCUGGGCCUGUACUGACGCUCAUGCACGAAAGCGUGGGGAGCAAACAGGAUUAGAUACCCGCGUAGUCCCUGUUUCUUAUAC
rnacentral:rRNA from 1 species